AUCAACGCUGGCGGCGUGCCUAACACAUGCAAGUCGAACGAGAAAGUGGGAGCAAUCCCAUGAGUACAGUGGCGAACGGGUGAGUAACACGUGACUAACCUACCUUCCAGUGGGGGAUAACCUCGGGAAACCGGGGCUAAGACCGCAUAAACUCGCGAGGUGAGAAUCCUAGUGAGCAAAGGGGUAAGACGCUGGUAGAGGGGGUCGCGGCCGAUUAGCUAGUUGGCGGGGUAACGGCCCACCAAGGCGAUGAUCGGUAGCCGGCCUGAGAGGGCGCACGGCCACACUGGAACUGAAACACGGUCCAGACUCCUACGGGAGGCAGCAGUGGGGAAUUUUGCACAAUGGGGGAAACCCUGAUGCAGCAACGCCGCGUGGAGGAUGAAGUCCCUUGGGACGUAAACUCCUUUCGACCGGGACGAUAAUGACGGUACCGGUGGAAGAAGCCCCGGCUAACUCCGU
rnacentral:rRNA from 1 species